rnacentral:rRNA from 1 species
CUGCUCAAUGAUUUUUUAAAUUGCUGUGGUAUUUUGACUAUACAAAGGUAUUGAAAUAAGACUUUAAUUGAGUGCUAAGAGAAUGGACUUUCAAAAAAAUGCUUUCUUAAUUUUAAAAAUUGAAAUUAUUUUUUUUUGUGAAGAGACAACAAUAAAAAUUAAAGACAAGAAGACCCUAAGAAUUUUUAUAAAUUUAUUAUAUUAAUAUACAAUACAUUUAUUUAAUUGGGGCGAUUUGAAAAUAUUUAAAACUUUUUAAAAACUAAUAAGAUCCAUUAAUAAUGAUUUUAUGAAAAAAAUACUCUAGGGAUAACAGCGUAAUAAUUUUAGAUAGAUCUUAUAGAAAAAAUAGUUUGCGACCUCGAUGUUGGAUUAGGAUUCUUAUUUAAUGAAGAAGUUAAAAAAAGAAGUUUGUUCAACUUUUAAAUUCCUACUUGAUCUGAGUUCAGACCGG